GCCUUCGUGGUGUAUUGGUUAGCACGCUCGGCUUGUAUUCGAGAGAUCCACGGUCCGAGUCUCGGCGAGGGCA
rnacentral:tRNA from 1 species